rnacentral:rRNA from 1 species
UCUCCACAUGGACGAAAGUCUGAUGGAGCAACGCCGCGUGAGUGAAGAAGGGUUUCGGCUCGUAAAGCUCUGUUGGUAGUGAAGAAAGAUAGAGGUAGUAACUGGCCUUUAUUUGACGGUAAUUACUUAGAAAGUCACGGCUAACUACGUGCC